rnacentral:rRNA from 1 species
CCUACGGGAGGCAGCAGUGAGGAAUAUUGGUCAAUGGACGAGAGUCUGAACCAGCCAAGUAGCGUGAAGGAUGACUGCCCUAUGGGUUGUAAACUUCUUUUAUAUGGGAAUAAAACGUUCCACGUGUGGGAUUUUGUAUGUACCAUAUGAAUAAGGAUCGGCUAACUCCGUGCCAGCAGCCGCGGUAAUACGGAGGAUCCGAGCGUUAUCCGGAUUUAUUGGGUUUAAAGGGAGCGUAGGUGGAUUGUUAAGUCAGUUGUGAAAGUUUGCGGCUCAACCGUAAAAUUGCAGUUGAAACUGGCAGUCUUGAGUACAGUAGAGGUGGGCGGAAUUCGUGGUGUAGCGGUGAAAUGCUUAGAUAUCACGAAGAACUCCGAUUGCGAAGGCAGUUCACUGGACUGCAACUGACACUGAAGCUCGAAAGUGUGGGUAUCAAACAGGAUUAGAUACCCCUAGUAGUC